CUCUACAACCACACCACCCAGAACAUGCUCGAUUUUGUCAGUUCUCGGAAGCUAAAUAGGUCAGGUUUGGUUAGUACUUGCAUGGGAGACUAUGUGAGGGUUCCCCUGCCCUUGCAGGGC
rnacentral:rRNA from 1 species